UGCCAAUAGUGUCAACAGACAUAUCAGUAAAAAAAAAAAGUAGAACGCCGGAUAUAUAAAAAAAUAACAUCUUGGAUAAUUAGAGCCAAGUUAUAAACAUAUAUAUAUAUAUAUAUAUACACGUACCUAAAACAACUCAUUAUGGCUUCGGGGUUGACGCCCUUGGAGUUUGUCUCCACUGCUGCUGCCGGAGGAUCACCCACCACCGCAUCUCUAGUCGGAUAACCAAUUGGUGGCGGACUUGUGUACGGCCCUGAUGAAGUCUCUGAAGGUUUUUGCACUGUGCCAAAAAAAAAAAAAGUUAUCUAGUUGGUGAGUAAAGAAUUAUUGUUCAUCAUGAUUAUACGUUAGACAUUGAUCAUGAUUUUAGAAAACAAUUGAAGAUAAUUACCGGAAAAGUAAUUUUGCGCGGAUUGAUUCAUUCUGAUUUGAGGAGCUGAGGAGUGAGGAUGUGAGAUUUGUGAAGAGGAGAGAGUGUUGUGCUUCUAAUUUAUAAGGUAGACAAAUAUUAGGAAAUUUUUUACAUUAUUCAUUAUAUAAAAGAAAGAAGAGUCAAUAUUGAACAAUAAAAACAUCUAAUCACAGACAACUCACGGACAGACCUACCUUAGCGAAGUGGUAGGUCUAGGUUUUUUGGUUAUAUCCAACACAUAUAUAAUUGCAGAGAUAAAGCAAAUGAUAUUGUUUGAAAUGCACAAGGGCAGAGGAAAGCGAUACCUAUGGUUGAGAUGAAAGUGAGAAAUGGUUUGUUGCAGAAAUGGCUUUCGUCACGUACAUGACGUACACGUACAUGACGUCGUAAAACAUGAGGAAUUUAACAAAUUUGAAUUAUUUUGUUCCUGGAACUGUCUUUUAGAACCUCUUUUUUUUUUUUUUGGGUAUUGCUCUAAACUCUAUGUAAAUUAAAUAACCUCUUUUGAUGAUUAAUUAAUUUAACAUUUCAUGAAAAUGAAAAAGUGAUUAACCAACUGCCUUUGAACCAUGAUUAAUAGUUUUGGCUUUGUUCCUUAUGUUGGUGUGAUCUGUUAAACUGCAAAGGAAAACAACUUUAUAAACUUAGGUGUUGUUUAUAUUAUUAUAUAUUGUAUUAAACUUAGGAAUAAAAAAUCAUUACGUCAUAUUUUGUUGCUACGAAUUAUGACUAGCUAUUUUUGUUUUUUACUUUGAUUUAUAUAGAAACAAAAUAGACGAAGCAAAUGGGAAUCAUGGAUCUCUUUCAACCAGUGAAGCAAAUAACAUACUGAUGAAUCCUCUAUUACGUAUAUGUUGUUUUUCUGGUUUGGGCAAAGUCUUGAGUCUCAUCAUCCUGAAAAUCCUGACGCGCAGCACAUGACACAUUCGCCGCAACCCUGGAUACAACUGCCAAUAGUGUAGGCAGACAGAUCAUUAAAAGAGAGUUGCACGUCGGAUGAACAUCUUGCUAAUAAUUAGAGCCAAACUAUCUAUAAAGAAAGUAAGUUAAAUUAGAUAUGUACUGUAAUAUUAACAUUACGACUUCGCAGCAGCCCUUGGAAUUUGUCUUCUCUGCUGCUGCCGGAGGAUCACCCACCGCCUUAUCUCUGGUUGGAUAACCGAUCGGCGGACUUGUGUCCGGUCCUGAUGCAUUCUGUGAACGUUUUUGCACUGUGGCCAAAAAGAUUAGUUAAUUAUCUAGCGGUGUGUAUAGAAUAAUUGUUCAUGAUUAUAUGUGGCCAAAAAGAAUAUACGUCGGACAUUGAUCAUGAUUUUAGAUAAUAAAUGAAGAAUUACCAGAAGUGUGCUCGAGCUGAUUCAUUCUGAUUUGAGGAGCUGAGGAAUGAUGGAAGGGAGAAAUAUGAAGUGGAGCGAGUGUUGUGGACUUAAUUUAAGGAAGACGUACCACCAUUUUUUAAUUUUUCUUACAAACAUAUACAGAACAGACUCAUCUUAGCCAAGUCGUAUACCACCACUUUUUUUUUAAUGUAACUAAGUCACAAGUGAUUGUCGAGUAACAAAGAAUUGCGGUGAAAAAGUAAAUGCUAUUUUGUGAAAUGCAAAAGGGAAGAGGAAAGCGACGAAAACGGCCUUUUUCAACCUCUAUUAUUUGUUAAAAGCCUUUUUUCAAAAAAACUCCGAUGUCCUGUCUUUCUUAAUCAGAAUCAAAACAAAAUUCAAAUUGCAAAUCUGACAUUUAUGAAAAUUAGCUGAUUUCAACAUAUCUCUAGCUCGAACCAUGAAUUAAUUAUGGAGUUAAACACAAGUUUUGAUGAUGAAGAAUCAUAAAUAUUCCACAAGUGUUUUUUAAAAGCGUAUUGAAACCUCUGGAUCCAAAGUAGUAGGACUCAUCAAAGUAGGAGUAAAAGAAAAAGAGAUUUUAGCCAAUGUAUCAUUUUUGGGUCCAAUGGAAUUUUUAUUCUCAUAUUAAAAAAAAAUAUUACAAUUCCAAACAGAAAAAUGUUAACUUUUGUUGCGAAUAUUUUCAGAUAUAGAAAAAACUUUGAUUUCAUCGGUUAAUUCAAAAAUAUUUUACUUAUUCAGUAAAGUACUAUUCAUUUUCAAGCUCAAUUAACUGAGACAUAGUAAUAAAAUAAAAUAUAUUUGAAUAAAAUAAAAUUGCAAAAAGUCUUUUACUAUGAAUCUAUGAUCAUAUUUAUAGUAGAAUAUGCAAUAGGAAAUACUUUGUUUUAUCUAAUUAAUUCGAAACAGAACUAUAGUUAUGAUAUAUUAUUUCGAUCUCACUAGCCUUUUUGAUUUUUUUUUUAUCACCAUAUGCUGUCAUGGUCUAAUAAAGAAUCAUUCUGAUUAGUUGUUAAUUUUGUGAAAAGUUCUUGUGCAAAGGAUAAUUUAUUAAAUGAUAUGUUCUUAAUUUAUAUCGAGUAGACAUUGUUUUUUCUUUUAAUUGAAAGAAUUCUAAAUUCAUAACUUGUAAGGAGGGACUUAUAGUCACCAAAAACAGAGACUAAGGCAAUUAUUGGAUUCAAAGUUGAUGUUAAAACCCUUUUUGGUAUUGUCAAGUUGUUAACAUCUUGAUAAAUAAUAUAUCAAAACGAAACCUUGGAGACGAGGAGUUUAAUUUUCUUUUUAGAAUUUUAAAAAACAAAUAUACGUGAUCGUGAAAACGUUUACAAUAUAUGUAUAACGGCUAUAUUGCAUAUUAUAUUUAAUAGGAUUAUUAUGUAAUUUUUAAGAGAGAGGUCAAAAUUGCAAAAAGACGAUUUUGAAGUUUUUUUCACAAAACCCAAACUUCAAAACAAAAUGGGAUUUAGAAUUUAAUUUUGUUGGUAUCACCCUGGCAAAUGUGGAGUUAUUUUUUUCUUAUCCAAUGAUGGAAUAGUCAUUUGGAACUCAACUAGCUGAAAAAUAAUUUAAAACUGAAAUGUAUAUGUAUAAAAAACAAUUUACAAAAACUUUUGCUUUAGUUCUCAUCGAGAAUAGGCAAUAGGUUUCUUAAACAUAUUUAGUGUCAAGAGUGAUUUUAUUAAGAUUUUAAUAUUAAAUAUUUGGAUAUAUAAAAAGUCAAAGAUAACGUAACGUGAAAAGGAAGUAUUAGAUUGCGCUAUACAUAUGAAAAAUAUAUACUAAAUGAUGUAUUUGGCGAAUCAAGCAUCAUGGUCUAAUACAGAAUCAUUCCGAUUGAAUCAUUCUGAUUGAAUCAUUUUGAAUAGUUGUUAAUUUUGUGAAAAUUCAUGUGAAAAGGUUAACUAAAUGAUAUAUCUUAAUUUAUGUCUAGUAGACCUUGUUGUUUCGUUUUGUUGCAAGAAUUUUAAAUAUAUGGCUUGUUGGGAGGGACUUAUCUCACCAAAACAAAGACUAAAGCAAAUGUUGGAUACAAAGCUAGUGUCGAUGAAGAAACGAUAUAUGCGGUAGCUGCUGAAUCUUCUACUGGAACAUGGGAAACUAAAGCGAUGGGGCAUACCAGCCUGGAUCGUUUCAAAGAUGAUGCUACCACAUCAAACCCGUUUUGGGAGAAAAAACCUCAAUUUAUUGCGAAUAUAAUAACUUACCCCUUAGAUCUUUUUGAUGAAUGUUUGGUUACUACCAUGUAUACCUCGACUGUGGGUAAUGUAUUUGGGUUCAAAACCAUGUUUGUUUUACGUCUAGAGGAUAUGUGAAUCCCUUCUGCUUAUACUAAAAUGUUCCAAGGACCAUCUCAUGGCAUCCAAGUUGAAAGAGACAAAUUGAACAAGUACUAUCUAGAGGAUAUGUGAAUCCCUUCUGCAGUUCAUAAACGGCGGUUCAAUCGUGUUUUACGAUUUGAGAUUAAGGUUCUCAUAGGACCGGUUCGAUUUUGUUUAAAUUGGUUUUGUUUAGUUAGAUACUAAGUAAAAAUUGUAUGAAUCUAAAUUCGGAAAUAUCCCAAUAGACCUUAUUUAUAAAAUUUGAAUACCUUUUCAAAAAAAAAAAGGGCUUAUUAGAAUAAUAGACACUUUUUAAAAAAUAAUUUGAGAAGUAGGUAGUUUUUUUAGAAAUUGGUGAAAUAGACAUUUUUUUUACUUUUUAUGAAAUAGAGGUUAUGUGUAAUAAGCUAAAAGACAAAAAUAUGUCAAAUACCACUUUACCCUUUACUUCAUAUGAGAAAAUAUGAGUCUAAAUUUUUAUAUUAUUUAACUAUUUAGAACUAUUUUUAUUAUAUUAUAGUUAUUUUUUUUUCAUAUUCAUCUUUUUGAAUUUUAUUAAAAAAAAAUAUUUUUUUUUAAAUAAUUUCUUCUUCCAAAGACAAGAUGAUUUAUAUGUUUUUAAUUAUCAUUCUCGUACACCAGCAAUAAAACAUAGUUUUAUACACUAACACUUAUACACCAAAUCAUUUUAUACAUAUCUUCUAAAAUAUUUCUAUUUAUCUCAUAUUAUAAAAUAAAAUAAUAAUUGUUCAUAAAUUAAUAAAAAUAUGAUGGUGUACACCAUCAUGCAUACUAUUAAAUUAACCAUAAUGGUGUAUACCAUUAAAUGAAAGUAAUGUUUGUACAUUUUUACUUAUGUACACUAACAUUUGUAUACUUUUAUGUACACUAAUCUCAUAUUAUUAUUAUUUAAACUUUGUUUUGUAUAUUAUCACUUGACAAAAAUGGUUCUGUCUUUUGUAUAUGAGGUGUACACAAUAGGUGAAGGUGUACGAUAUUAUAGACGGUGUAGAAGUUGAUUUAUGGUUUGAUUUAUUAUCUCAUUAUUGCAUGUAUACUAUUAAUAUCAUGUACACCAUAUGUUACAUUUUCGUACACCAUCUUAUUAUGUAGUUGCACAUCGUUGUAUAUUAUCGUUUGUACAUCACUUUGUACACUGUCUAUACCGUAUACCACUUCUUAGAUCAAUAUUAUACAUUAUCGUUGUACACUACUAUUUGUACACCACAUUUUUACCAUAUCGCAUACACCGUCGGGUUAAGAUCAAAUAAAAGAAAAGUAUUAUAUAUUUGUAAAAUAUAGCAAAAUUAGACUUUUUAGAUUCAGAAAAAAAAUUAAAAGAUUAAUAUAUAUUUUAUGAUAAUUAUUUAAUGAAGAAUUUAUAACAAAACAAACUAAAUAUAUAUAAAUAAAGAGAAAAAGAAAAAAAAAUUAUUUUUGUCUUUAUUUGACUAUAUGACAAAACAGCAGAAGGUUAUAAAGGUCAUUCACUAAAAUCUCUAUUAGAUAGAAAGUUGUAUUAGAGAGGAAAGAGAAAAGUGUCUAUUCUCCCUAUUUCUAAAAAAACUACCUAUUUUGCAAAUUAUUUGUGAAAAAAGUGUCUAGUUUCCAACUUAUCUCAAAAAAAAAAUACACCAAACAAAUGCGGAUAAUGGAUCCCUUUUAAAUAAUGAAGCAAAUAAACUUAAAAAUGGAACGUGAGAAUCCAUACAAGCGACUAAUAUAUAUAUAUAUAUAUCUUGAGUCAAGAUAACAUAUUGAUGGAUCUUCUAUUACGUGUUGUUUUUCUGGUUUGGGCAAAGGACUUCAGUCUCAUCAUCCUCCUCCGCAGAAGCAGAGCGCGAUAUGGCCACAACACAAAAGACCACUGCCAAUAGUGUAGACAGACAACAAAUCAUUAAAAAGAAAGUUGAACGCCGGUUGCGAAUAAUUAGAGCCAAACUAUAAACAUAUAAUAAUAAUAAAAAAGUAAACUAAAUGAAAUAUAUAUGUACUGUAAUACGACGUCGCAGCAAUUGGGCUUUUUCUCCACUGCUUUUGCCGGAGGAUCACCCACCCCCUUAUCUCUGGUCGGAUAACCCAUCGUCGGCGGAGGACUUACGUACGUCCCUGAUUGUUUUUCCACUGUGCCCAAAAAGAUUAUUUAAUUGUCUAAUUGCUUUGUGUAGAAUAAUAACUGUUCAUGGUUAUGCAUGCAUGGCCAAAAAGAUUAGACGUCGGACAUUAAUUGAUCAUGAUUUUAGAAAAUAGUUGAAGAAUUACCUGGAAUGUAUUUGUUGUCGUGUUCAUUCAUUCUGGUUUGAGGAGCUGAGGAAUGAGGAAGGGAGAAUUAUGAAGAGGAGAGAGUGUUGUGGUGUUUUAAUUUAACAUAGACGAAUAUAUAGGAAGCUUCUAAAUAAAAGAAUGAAAAGUCAAUAUUGAAUAGACAUACCUAUUUUGCAACACUUGUGUUAUAUAUAAAUGCUAGUGUUCAAGAAAGUCAAUUUCAUAUAAUUUUUAUACAGUGUUUUUUUUUUGAAAGACACGUAUAUAAAUAAUCAUUAUGAUUAUUUGUUAAUUAUGCGAAAGGUUCUUACGAAACAAGUUAAUAUGUUAAAUGAUCUAUUCCUAAUUUAUGCCGAGUAGACCUUGUUGCUUUUUAAUUUAUUGCAAGAAUUCUAAAUUCAUGACUUGUAGGGAUAGACUUAGCCACCACAAACAGAGACUAAAGCAAUUUUUGGAUUUCAAAUUGGUGUUAAAGAGUAUAAAUUGACUUAUUAAAAUCAAGGAUACUAAUUUCUUGGAAGCAUUCCAACUCUGGAUCUUCUAUUGGUACAUGGAAAACUGUGUGGACCGAUAGUCUUACCAGUUUUGAUCGUUACAAAGGAUGAUGCUACCACAUCGCGUUUGUUGCAAGAGAAAGAAACUUAAUUAUUGCGUAUGCAACUUACCCAUUAUACCUUUUUGAAGAAUGUUCAGUUACUAACAUAUUUACCUCCAUUGUGCAUGUAUUUUGGGUACAAAGCCAUGGAUGUUGUACGUCUAGAGGAAUUGCAAAUCCAUCGUUCUUAUACUAAACACUUUUGAAACAUCACCUCAUGGAUCCAAAUUAAAAGAGAUAGAUUGAACAAGUAUGGACGUCCCUUAGUAGGUUAUCCGAGAAAAACUAUGGUAAAGCAAAUUAUGAAUGUAUAUAUGUGAUUUUACCAAAGAUGGUGAGAAUGUGAACUUCCAACCAUUUAUGUGUUAGAGAGACCGUUUCUUAUUUUAGGCUAGGACUGUCCCAUUGGUAUUAUAAAUAGAAGUAGAGAAAUGUCAGCAAAGGACAUGUGAUAACUGAGAGUGAGAGUCAGAGAAUAUUCUCGAUUCCAGCUCAAAGUCUUAAGCUCGACAUUCCAACUUGUUUAGUUAAACUUUCAGUAAUUUGUAAGUUCGGCGGUUAACAGUUUCAUGUAAACGGCCGUAACGUUCAGUUGUUGAAAUAAAAUCUUCUAUUUUGUUGCUAUUGUCUUCUCAUCUUGUUAGGUUGGGCUUCAAUACCAACAGAUUCGUUGUAUUUUGUAUUUUCUUUCGGCACCAACAGAUUCGUUGUAUUUUAUAUUUUCUUGUCUACUUCUUUUGGAAAUUUGAUGUCAGAAAAAUACCAUGUCGACGUUGUUUUCGAUUUAUUUGAUUAUAAUAAUAUAACUUCGUAGUUAGAGAAAAACCACACACAAAAUUUUUGUAGGAUUUAAAACACUACACAAUUUUAUUUGUGUGUUUUUAACCUCCCAAAUAGGGAUUUUGACAUUUAACUUGAAUCAUAAGUAUGUUCUAAAUUCCGCCCCAAAAAAAGAGAGUAUGUUCUAAUUAAUCAUGAUGUAUAUAUAAAUACGUAUAUAUAUCAAACGGGAAAUGUAACUUUAUUACUUGUUACUUUUAACCUCCCAAAUAAGGAGCUUAACUGGCACUUUCUUUGAAGUUUAACUGAAUGUUUCUCUAACUUUCACAAACAUAAAAACGUGAAGCAAUUUAAUUCCAUCUCGUUUGAGAUAUAUACAUGCAUGAUUUAGAACAUACUUAAGUUUUCUGCAGUAUAACACGUAGUAUACUAGUAUAUGUUGUUGUGAUGUUUUCUAGAGAAAUCGAUUUUGUUAUGUUCGCUUUUCUAUUACUGUAUCUUCUUUUUGAUUGGUCAUAAAAAACAAAACAAAAACAUCAUCCCACCUAAUUAAUUCCCUUUGGGUAACCCGUAAUCCAUUCACAACUCUUCAAUGAUAAUCAAUGCGUGAGGAACUGAAACACAUCCUUUCGUUACUGACUGAUGGUUCAAUCAUCGAUGGAUCUAUUCGACAACCCAAUUCAACGGAAUAUAUAUAUAUAUAUAUAUAAUCACUUACAUAAAACAUAGUAACAACCAUCCACAGAGUAUAUUCCAAACAGAGAGUAGGUAACAUAACUAGCAUCAAAUACUCUUUUAUUACAUCAAUAAUUUGCAUGAAAUCGUUAAUUCCGAAGUCUCAGAAGCAUGCAUCCAGGACACAACAGCAGCAUAUGGCAGCACAACUGCCAAUAGACAAAACCAAAUUUAUUAAGUGUUACGUACCAUUCUUGUCUAAGGACUAGGGAAGAUAUUGGUUUAUAUUUGAAAUAGUAACAUUUUCUGAAAACUUUAAAUAAAGAAAAAGUAUUUUAGCAACGUACGUAAUAUCCCAUGGUUUAAUUUCUUUUUAGUUGUUCAGUUGGUAAAACAAACUUUUAGCUGACAACUCUGAAGUUGAAUUUUUAUAUUAUCUUUUGUCAUUGAAGGGGAAAUAAAAUGUAAGUCAAGGGUGAAUUUAAAACAAACAACAAAAUUGCAAGAAAUUAAACACUAGUUAUCAACUAAAAUGUUGGGAAAAAAAACAAAUCUUGACUAGAAAAUGUUGACCCAAAUUUUACCAAAACAUUUGCAGUUCAAAACCAAUAGUUUGAUUCGAAUUAGAUAUACUCCAUAAUAAUUCAGGAAAACAGAGAAACACACAAGAAAUUGAAACCCUAUACUGAUAGAUCAUUAAAAAUAAAAUAAGAGCGUCGUAUGAAUAUCUUGCAAAACGAAUAAUUAGAACCAUCAUGAUCUAUAAUCACAUGAAGAGAUUAAAAUGAAAGAAAAACAUACCAUCCUUCGGGGUUGACGCCCUUGGAGUUUGUCUCCACUGCUGCUGCCGGAGGAUCACCCACCACCGCAUCUCUAGUCGGAUAACCAAUUGGUGGCGGACUUGUGUACGGCCCUGAUGAAGUCUCUGAAGGUUUUUGCACUGUGCCAAAAAAAAAAAAAAUUAUCUAGUUGGUGAGUAAAGAAUUAUUGUUCAUCAUGAUUAUACGUUAGACAUUGAUCAUGAUUUUAGAAAACAAUUGAAGAUAAUUACCG
rnacentral:lncRNA from 1 species